UAGGAUGCAAUGAUGCAAUGAAGAUGAUGU
rnacentral:piRNA from 1 species